CAAACUGGAGAUGGCGACCGGCGCACGGGUGAGUAACACGUAUCCAACCUGCCGAUAACUCGGGGAUAGCCUUUCGAAAGAAAGAUUAAUACCCGAUGGCAUAAUAGAACCGCAUGGUUUGAUUAUUAAAGAAUUUCGGUUAUCGAUGGGGAUGCGUUCCAUUAGGCAGUUGGUGGGGUAACGGCCCACCAAACCUUCGAUGGAUAGGGGUUCUGAGAGGAAGGUCCCCCACAUUGGAACUAAGACACGGUCCAA
rnacentral:rRNA from 1 species